UGCAUUUGUAAUUUUAGGCACAAAGUGAUAAAAACAAAGCAAGUCGUGCAGAGCGAAAGUAUAAUCAUACUACUGGAACAAAAAUUUUUCCACGUGUUCGAAAGGAGCAGAAAAAUAAGUUGGGACACUCUCCAACUCGUGCUCACAUGUUUAAAGUAUGUUAUACAAAGGAGACAGGAACUCCUGAGGCAACGAAAGCAAUGAUAGAUGAAAUGAAUGAGAGGACAACCUUAAAUGCAAAUUUAUCAAAUAAGGGCCCAAAUGAUGCAUUUGGACAAGUGAUGGGUAAAGAAAAACAUGGACGAGUUCGCAUGUAUGGAUUAGGUGUCUCCCCGUCUAAUUUAUGGAGAGAUACAUCUGGUCAUAAAGCAAACCAUGACACAACAAUGGAUGUU